AUUGAACGCUGGCGGCAGGCUUAACACAUGCAAGUCGAACGAGUGGCGGACGGGUGAGUAAUGCUUGGGAAUCUAGCCUAUGGAGGGGGAUAACUACGGGAAACUGUAGCUAAUACCGCGUAACAUAGGAUGAGCCCAAGUGGGAUUAGGUAGUUGUGGAGGUAAAGGCUCACCAAGCCGACGAUCUCUCGCUGGUCUGAGAGGAUGACAAGCCAAAGGGGGACUGAGACACGGCCAAGACUCCUACGGGAGGCAGCAGUGGGGAAUAUUGCGAAAUGGGGGCAACCUGACGCAGCCAUGCCGCGUGUAUGAAGAAGGCCUUCGGGUUGGAAAGUACUUUAGGUAGCGAGGCGUUAACUACAGAAGAAACACCGGCUAACGCAGUGACAGCAGCCGCGGUAAUUC
rnacentral:rRNA from 1 species